rnacentral:rRNA from 1 species
UACGAAGGGGGCUAGCGUUGUUCGGAAUUACUGGGCGUAAAGCGCACGUAGGCGGCUUUGUAAGUUAGAGGUGAAAGCCCAGGGCUUAACCCUGGAAUUGCCUUUAAGACUGCAUCGCUAGAAUCGUGGAGAGGUGAGUGGAAUUCCGAGUGUAGAGGUGAAAUUCGUAGAUAUUCGGAAGAACACCAGUGGCGAAGGCGACUCACUGGCCCGUUACUGACGCUGAGGCGGCGAAAAGCGUGGGGAGCAAACAGG